CAAAAGUGAGACAAUUCCUGCCCUCAGGGAGCUUCUAUUUUAUAAUAUAACAACAAAGAAAGACCCAGAGUAAAAUCAAAAUGGAGAAAAUGUUACUAUCAGCUGGGGGAAUCAGAAAACUCUGGUACAGGGCUGGCACCUGAGCCUAGUACUUUAAGAGGAAUUAGGGAUCGUUUGAGGCAGAGGGAAGAUGAGAGAAUUCCUAAUGCUGAAUCCAGAGAAACCCUCAGUGAUCAGGAAAUGAGAAGGCUCAGCCAACUGCUUGUUAAGUCAGGAUUGCUCAGUGACUCUCCCAAAUACAAACAGAAAGCUCCUUCCUGUCCUUCCGCCCUCUUCCUUCCCCUUACCCCUUUGCCCUACAUUGUGCCUGAACGCCUUGGUUUUGAUGGGCAGCUUUUUCAAAUAGUGGAAUCAGGGGUUGGGAGGCAUCUCUGUGGCCAUCUUGUUCAACCUGAUUUCUGCCUGAACAGAGACAAGAUCUCCCGAUGAGAGAUCAGGCAGCCUCUGCUUCCAGGGCUCUGCUCAGGAAGGCUCCUUAACUUUCAGGGGAUUCGGCUCCACUUUGGGGCACCUCUAAGUGUUAGGAAAUGCCAGGUGUAUUUCCCUCAGCCUCACUCCCUGCCGGUGCCCCUGCUCUUGCCCAUCAGGGCCAGAAGAACUUCCCCACGAGCCCUUAGGAUAUGAGAUGGCAGUUAGCAGGCCAGCCUUCCCAGCACUCCCUGGUUUCUCGUACGUGUGAGUGAAUUUGUGUGUAUUUCUUUUGGGGUGACUCAGAACUUGUGGCAUUUUGCAAAAACCUUUGAGAGGGUCAGGAGGAUGGACAGGUUUGGUUAAAAGCUAGCAGUGUUUCGAGACUGGGAUGAACCCCCUGCAGAAACCCACCAGAUGAUAUUAGGGAAACCCAGAGUCCUUCUGGGAAAGAGAUGCUAUCCUCUAUGAGUCUCUCUUUUGUUCACUCUGUCUAAGGGGGACCGCAAUGAAGAAGGACAAUGGGGUCAGUGGACGCAUUGGUCUUCAUGAUCCAGUAUUCAGACCCAGAAGAAGAAACUAAAGCAAACGAAUGAAUAAAGGAAUGGAUGAAUCAAUAAAUAAAUAAUCCUCAGCAGUGCUGAAUCAUUUCCUACUUCCUGGGAGGGAAAGGCAGGUUUUCUCCUCAGAUAAGACUCUCCUCUAGAGCAGUAGCAAAUUGUCUUGCUCUGCUGCCAAACCCCCUACCACAAAGCCCAGCCAGGUGGCUUAGAGUCCCAGACAGCCUUCAGAUCCACUGAGCUCCAGGGCCUCCUAGCCAUCCUACUGAAGGCUGCCCCCACGACCUCCCCAUAGCUCCUGAAAGCAGGUUCUCAGUGGGCCAGUGCCCUGGCCACCCCCAGACUCCUAACACCCCCCAACUCAUCCUCACGGGCAAUGCUGAGAGAUGAAAGGCAUCUCCCCUGCCUUACAGCCCCCAAUAAAAAAACCCCAGUGAUCCACUGGCCUGCAUUCUGGGCUCCAUUUAUUUUCAAGACCAAACACUCAACCGAAGGCCAUGUAUUUUUUUAAAAUCACCAGUAUCGUGAGCCCAACUCGGAUCCCUCCCUUUUCCGCCCACUUGGGUUUUUUUUUUCCCAAUUAAACUUAACCAUUAGCAGAGGUGGGGAGCUGGAAGGCCGAGCAAGGCCCAUUCUCACGCAGAACCUCCCCGCAUCACGUAAGUCUGUCUCACUUCUGGCCUAUGGCAGCUGGGGAGGACACACCUGUUCAUGGCUGGAGGCGCAGAGAUUGGUCUGAUGGGGAAAGUGCACCUGCGCGGGGAGGGGUGCAGGGCUACAUGUAAGCCGAGUCUCGAGACACCAUCCGUCUCUUCUCCUUUCCAGCUUAAGCAGGCAACAUCUCUCUGAGCUGCAAGGUCUUCUCCCAACCCGCUGGCCUUCCUCUGAGCUCCCUAGCCUCUGGCCUUCAGUAGUCUCACCUUAAGCCUUAAAGUGAAACCUGUUGUUGCCCACUGUACUCUUAGGAUUUUUGUUUUUGCUUUUAUUUAUCUCCUGAACAUCACCUUGAAGGAACAGCGGGCUGGAGAGUCAUCUCUGUGAAGACCAGGAAAGAUGAGAAGAUCAGCCAACUCGCCAGCCCGUCGCAACAAUUUUCUCGUUCCUCUCUUGAAGGUCGAUGAUCUUGGUUUUGGAAAAGAUUCAGUCCUUUUAGCCCAGAAGUCUUAGAAGUGUAUUUACUCGGUCCCAAAGGCCGUGGUAUUUCAGGUAUUUGGGGGGUGCGACAGUCAAGUAAGGGCAGAAGCGAAUUCAGGAGUCUUUAAGUUGUAAGGAGAGUAAUUCACAGAUCCAGCGCUUGUCUUUGCAUAGGGUCACCGGCUGGUUUUAGGGAAGCUUGUGUUGGUUCAGGUUUUGUCUGUUUUGAGUUUGGGGGAGGGGUAUAGAGACAUGAAUCCUAACGUUCAUUCACUAGCCAGACAAACCAGUUAGGGCAGGUCAAGGCAGACAGCAAGGGGGGUGAUGGGGGAAAUGCCAGAGGAGAGAACCAGUGAGGAGAAAGGUAAAAAAAAAAUUAAGGUAAUAUAGGAGGGUUGGGGAAGACUUAGGAAGACUCUUUUCAGUUGCUGAAAUAAUCUCUGUUGGGAAGAAAGGAAGAAUGAGUGAGAGAGAAAAAAAGAAAGAGAAGAAAGAAAAAGAAAGAAAAAGAAAAAAAGGAUAGAAGGAAGUAAAAAAGGAUGGAAGGAAGGAAUAUGGAGAGGGAAAGAAAAAAUGAAGAAAGUAAAAAAAGAAAAAAGAAAUAAGGGCAAAAGGAAGGGAAGAAAGGAAAAGGGAGAAAGAAAGAAUGAAAGAAAAUGAAAAGAAGGGAGGGAAGAAGAAAAGGGGAAAAGAAAGAAGAAAAGGAAAGAAGAGAAGGAAGAAAAAAGAAAGAGGAUGGUAGGAAAAGAAAGGAAAAGGGAAGAGGGAGAAAGAAAGAAUGAAAGUAAAAAAGGAGAGAAAGGAGGGAAGAAGAAAGAAAAGAGAGAGAGGAGAAAAAAGGAAGAAAGGAAGGAAGGAAAAGGAUAGAAGAGAGAUAGAGAAAGAAAGAACAAAAUCAGGGGAAAAAAAAGAAAGAGAAGAGAGAAAAACAGAGAAGAAAAGAAAGGAAGGUAGAGAGGGGAACACAGAAGAAGCCAAAAAAGGAUCUUCAGUGGAAACCCCACGGAUUUGUUCUGCCACUGGAAGGACAGCAGAGCUGGGACUGACCACACGACAGAGAGAACUGCUUGUUCUGGCCCGAGAGGGCGGCCUCCCUUGUGCCCUGGGCAGGUGGGAGCUGCUCCCUGGGUGCAGCUCAGUGCUGAGGGCGGGCGGGGACUCCGAGCGCCAGAGCAGGCCCCGGGGACCCUCCCAAGGAGUGUGGCCCCCUCUGAGCUCAGCCAGGACCCCGGACCUCAGCGGAGAAAGGCCUCUGCUUCCAGCCUGUCACAGACCCCACAGCCGGAGGCAGGUAGGAGCAGAACCCUGGAUUUAGAAUGCGCGGGCUUGGGUUUGAAGGAGAACACCCUCCCCGGGUGAGCUUGGCUGCUCAGUGUCCUCACUUUUAGAUGGAGAAGAAGGAUGCUAGAUGAACCUUAAAGGUCCUUUCAGCAUUCUGUUUGGUGGUGGAGGGUAGAAAACACAAAACCAGCCGUCUGGAAAAAAAAAAAAGCGUGGGACCCCAGCUCUGUCAUUUACUUGUGUGACCUUUGGACAUUUGACUUUACUUUUCUGGACCUAUUUCCUGACCUUUAAAAUGAGGGGAUUGGUGGGCUUGGGCUCCAGGUUCCCUUCCAGCCCUAAAACUAUGGUCUACAUAACUUUAAUUGAGCGACUCCACUUCCCGAGUCUCAUUUUCCCCCUCUGUACUAAAAUGAGUGAGUUGGUCUCAACGGCCUUUGUUAAAUUUUUUAAAAAUAAGGUAUUUGGGCUUAAGUGACUUGCCCAGGAUCACACAGUAAGUGUAAGUGUCUAAGACCAGAUUUGAACCCAGGUCCUCUUGACUCCACGGCUGGACUAUCUCCCUGCCCCUCUCGGUGGCCUUUGAAAUCCUUCCAAUUCUAAAUCCAUGUUAGAUUCAUUUGCCCAGAUGACCUUUGUCAAGUCAUUUGCUGCACCUCAGUUUUGGGUGGGACGCUGAGAUAAUUUAGACGUUACUCAGAACAAUCCGGAUUGCAGUUUUAUGAGGUUUGGACGAGUUCGCUUCUUUUCUGUUUGUUUUUUAAACUGCUUCCCAAGUCUCUGGUCUUGGAUUUCAUGGAGAUGACUUCUAGAGUUACUCCCCAAGAAUGGGGACAAGAGGAAAACUGGGACAGAGCGGCCGGCCAUCAGCUGAGCAGACCCUGGAGAGCCCAGCCCCAGAGGGAUGGCUGGGACGGCCCUGGGGCCUCAGCUCAGAACCACGAGGAACAAAGUUCAGGCCCUCGACCCUUUGGGAGCUAUAGCCAGCGUGGCUGGAAUCCGGACCAGGACCGGCGCUUCCAGGGGGUGCUUGAGUACAUACAGGCAGGGGGACUCUGGAUCCGGGGGCUAUAGGCAAGAGGUGGUUGACUUGUUGGGCUCCUAAACUACCUACAUUGUAAUAGAAAGGGAAGCAGCCGGUGGUCCAAAGUUCAGACCCCAUGAAACUGUGGUGGACUAGGGAUCUAAGCCCCACCUCACUCACUCACAAGUCCUUUAACCUUAGAGACUCAGUUUCCUUUUUUGUAAGAUGAGAAGAUUGACAUUUGAGGACCUGUAAGGUCCACCUCUUUAUUUCUGGGAUUUACGAAAUGUGUGAUCUUGCCCAGAUCUCUUCUGCCAAGUAAAAGAGCAGGAUGAGAUGAUUCCAAAGGCUCCCUCUUUCUACGAAUCCUACAAACCUAGGCCUUGAGCCUCAGAGCAUGGUGAAGCUUAGAGACAUUGAGGUCUGAGUUCAAAUCCUGCCUUCUAAGUCUCAUCUCCUUUUAGACUAGAAGCAGAAGGAAGCUCUGGGAUCAUUUAUCCAGUCCAACACUUUCAGCUCACAAAGGAGGAAACUGAGGUUUCGAGAGAAAAUCACUCAAAGUCACCUAAGUAAAAUGGCAGAUCCAAGAUUCAAACGCAUGUCAUCUGUACCCCAUUGUCUCCAGUCCCUCACUAUUAUGGGAACAACCUGCUAAUGGCAGCCACUAGCAGGUUGUUCCCUAACGGCCUCACACCCUAGUUCCUUCAUCUGUAAAGUGGGGCUAAUCACACUGGCAUUAAUUCCCUCAAGGAGGUGAAUUGCUUUCAGGAGGUCUAAGGACAAGAGCACAGAAUCUGAGGUUGUAGGAUCCCAGAUCCAGAGCUGGAAACAACUUCAGAGACUAAGAAACUUUUAUUUUCCAGAUGGAAAAACUAAGGUGCACUGAAAGAAUAUGACUUGUCUAAGGUCUCAGAGGCAAAUCAAUUCUCUUCUGAGAUCCCAUUUUGGGAUCUAUAGAAGAGAAUAGAAUCUAUAGUACUUAUCUCUCACCAGGCCCAAAUGGCAUGUCCAUAAGGCCCUUUGCAAGCUAUGGAAGAGCCACAAAUAUUCAUUAUAAGCUCUGAAAGUAUGAUCCUAUGAAUAAAUGAUAGGAAGCAGGGCUCCGCCAUCAAGGUGACCUUCCUAAUCCAGGUGCCAGCUCAAAGAUGGCAAAGCAGAGAAGGCCCUUUCGAUUUCUGGAAGCCUUUUGGAGAUGAUCCCUGCCCAUCCCAGAGAGGGCCGCCGACCACAAAGUAAUAGCCUAGUAAGAAAGCGGGCAUCCCUCAGCAUGAGCCGUGCGGUGCCCCUGCAAGGACAGCCGGGCUUCCUUUUCUGAAUUAGAGAGGGAUCUCCAUGCUGAGGAUGCUCAGUGCCUUCUUCCUUCUGCUUGUACCAGGCAUUUGGAGGCCAGAAAUGGACAAUUUAAAAACUUUUCACUUGCAAAAUGCCUUGAAGGAUUUCCCUCAUCUUGGCCUUUGCGCGGUGGCUAGUUAUCCACCGGCAUUAUUACUAUUCCUAUUUUGAUAAUGGCUCGCUCCACGGCUUUAAGGUUUGUGAGAUGAUUUGUGCAAAUGAACUCAUUUGAAUUUGUGCUGUAACCGGGGGAAGUCGCGGCGAUUAGUCAAGAAGUUUUAUUAUCUCACUAUUUCACAGAUGAGGAAAAAGAAAUAGUGGGUCAGUGAUUUUUCCAGGGGUCAAAUAGCUAGAAAGAGAUCUUCCUCCCUCCAAGUCUACCUCAAAUGUUGGAGGAGAAAGGUCUCAGUCAAUGACUACAUGGGCCCCCAUGUAAUAAGCUAGGGGGAAAAAACUGAGAAAAGCAAAAUUUAAAUUUCAAAAGGCACUUAGUCAUGGGAUUAGAGAUUUAAAAGUGGGAGGGACCUUAGAGGUCAUAGAAUCAAGUGCACUAAUUUUACUUGGAGUGGGAGAAAAGGCUAAUAGCCAGCCAAUUAAAAAAAAAAAAAAAGAAA